GACCCGAGUCCAAGGCGGUGGCCCCUAUCUAUACUUUCUGUGAGGAAAGCACUGUGUUACCGGAUGUGUGUGUGUGUGUAAUGUGUGAUGCAGCCUGAAGCCCUACAUAUGAAAUCAAUAAAGGGGAAUGGAACCAUUUCUUUCAGAAGAUCCCCCGGACUCCCUUCGACCCCAGCGCCCCAUAGCACUGCAGUCGGCGUUCAGUCCACUGGGCGGUGGCUCCAAGCGUUUACCUGUGCUCCCCACCAGCGCUGUGGGCCUUUCCUCACAUCCUGGGCCUGUCUGUCCCCUUGGCCGCGCAGGGCAGAUCCUCGGGGCAGUUCGCCUGCUGUGCACAGGUUCAGCGAGAAAAGGAACCUCAUAAUCAACCAUACAUCUGUAAUGCCUCUUACAGUGUGUGAUGUCUCAGCCAACCGUUACCACUGACUUCCAUGGAUUACGGUACCUGCCACUCUGGCUUCAUUCUAACGUAUCUGAUGGCCGGAGCUUGAGCAGCCAGUGCACAGUGAGGAAGCUGUGAUGGAAGAAUAAGGUAAGAUGAACUUAGUUUUGAUUAGUUUGCCUUUGCAUGAGAAAUUAAAAAUCU
rnacentral:lncRNA from 1 species